GUUUUUUUUGUUUUGUUUGCUGUCUUGAAAAAGAAAUACUAAAAAACUAUAUUGCCUUUUGAAUCAGGACACAUGUGACUGGAUUAAACUUGACCCUGAAGUCCACAGAGUGAGGGAGAUGCAAACAUACAGCUUGCAGUCAGGCAGCGGUUGCUUUGAAUGCAGUGUAUCCACCUUGCGCUGGGUUUGCAAGGAGCCCAUCUCCUUCAGGUACCAUUUUGGCUCUUGGGAGGAACACUAUGAAAGAAUUACCCUCAUGGAUUACCUGCCUGCUGGACCUGUGCUGGACAUCUCAAUCUUAGCUGGAACAAUGGAGGAGGUGUAUCUACCCCACUGGAUUGGUACUGAAUCAACAAGUCCAGACAUGUUUGCAGUUUUGCAUGUAGAUGCUUGUGGAGAUUCUAUAGAAAAGGUGUCUGACGUGACAUCUUCCUACGUGAAGUUACUUCAGCCAACAUUUUCACCAAAAGCUCCAAUUUUCCUGAAAAAGCUGGGGAUAUCAGUGAAAGUUCGCUCAGAUGUUUUAAUAUUCAAGACUAUAAAGGAGUACCUUACCCUUCAUGUUUACCUCGUCCCACAUUGUUUGAAAAAGGUUUUUCUAAACUAAUUACUUCAGAUAUUAUGUAUACAGUAGUUUGUUUGGAGUUUUCAAAAUGGGAACUCAACCACAAAGAUUGAUUUUAUUUCACUUUAUUUUGACAGAAAGUUUGUGAAGAGGAGUCUGGUCAUCGUUCAAAAAUUAUCUCAAAACCAGGCAAACAAGAGUCCUUGGAAACUCUGGAUUCUUUCAACUUGACAACAGAUGCAGACAAUGCUGAAAUUGAGCCUGAAACAUUGUGCCUUGCAUAUGACACUGGAACAUACUUUGAAGUGUGCAUCAGAAAUGCAGACAGUGACUUCAACCUAACAUUAACAGCAGAAAACAAAAGCAAAGAUCGAGUCAUAAUCUGGAAAUGCAAAAUUCGAAGAGGUGACUAUAAAAGUAACAUUGAUAACUCACAAGCCAUGGCUGAAGAAGCUGAAUCUGCACCCGUGGUGCAGCUGCUUCAAAACCAGAAGGCAAAGCUGAUAAAGAUUCUCAGCGCGGAGGCAGAUUUUGUUCUACAGCACGCACAUUCCCGACAUCUGACUUCGGAUCAGGGCUAUGAGAAGAUUAAAGCUUGUCGUGUUCCUCGUGAAAAGGUGCAAGAGCUUUUGGAUCAUGUCAUCCAGAAAGGCGCCAAAGCAGCCAAAGGAAUGCUGGAGCUGCUGAAGAGCAAAGAGAUGCAGGAAACAUUUCCUAUGCUUGCUUCUGUUCAAUGUCUGCAUGUCAAAAGACCAUUGUCAGAUUAACAUUUUGUUCAGCUCUGAUCGAAAGAGUGAAAGACACCAAACAUAUCCUGGACAAGCUGCUGAACAUUGGCUUGAUUGUGCAGAGGACACGCGAUACUAUCAGUGACAUAGCAACUGAACCUGAGCAGAUGACAGAGAUUUUGAAGACUGGAAUUUCAUCUGGGAGAAGCGAAAAAGACGAUUUCCUUAAAAUCCUCAAAGAGUCUGAAGCCGCUAUUAGAGGAGAUUGAAGGAUGUCUGCAGGGGAGCAAUCCAAGAAGAACAACAGAGGUCAUAGGACAGAAGGUUUCCCACAAUAAAACAAACACAUCGAGUUACUGAAGUGACCAAGUCAAAAUCCACAUUAAACUCUAAAGACUGACGUGGAAGAACUAUGCUGUGUAGAAACUAAAGUAAUAGAAAAAAAGUAAAUGAUACAGGCAUCAUGUCCUCCAAAAAUAAGUUUUCCUUAGAGGUGAUUGUUUACUUUCAUAACUGAGUUGUUACACACGUUUUUUGUUGUUGUUGUUGUCAUAUGUAAUGAUUUAUAAAUAAUGUAAGAUAAUAUUUCUUAUUUCUUUAAACAAAGAGAAACUCUAACAUCUUGUUUGAAACUAUAAACUCCACAGUACCUGUGUAGAUAGCCUCUAACGAUGACAGUGAUGACUUUCUCUAUUGUUUUGUAAGCCAUGAGGCUCUCGUCAUAAUCUGAGAUCUUCCAGUCAAAGAUUAGAUGGAGUCAAAAAAUAAACGAUAAAAUAAUAAAAGACUGGAUGGAUUCCUCAUAGGGGACAAACAGAGCGGCAACCCUCACAGAGUGGAGUGCUUUGCAUCCAUCUUUGUGAUGUUUUGAUUGUUGAUUCUCUUAAGGGGCAGAGAAAGACUUAUUUAUACUAGUUUCUAACUAGUUUUAUUUGGCACAUGGGUAACACUUUAUUUGGA